CCCCUUAGGUAGGAUUCCUUGUCCCUCAGAUCUAAAUAUUGGUCUGAGUGGCUAAAAAAGAAGGGAAAGUAAAACUGAAGUGGACUUGGAAUCUUUAAUAACUUACAAGCUCAUUUCAAACAUAG
rnacentral:snoRNA from 1 species